rnacentral:rRNA from 1 species
UACGUAGGGUGCGAGCGUUGUCCGGAAUUAUUGGGCGUAAAGAGCUCGUAGGCGGUGUGUCACGUCGGCCGUGAAAACCUGCAGCUUAACUGUGGGCGUGCGGUCGAUACGGGCAUCACUGGAGUUCGGCAGGGGAGACUGGAAUUCCUGGUGUAGCGGUGAAAUGCGCAGAUAUCAGGAGGAACACCGGUGGCGAAGGCGGGUCUCUGGGCCGAUACUGACGCUGGAGGAGCGAAAAGCGUGGGGGAGCAAAACAGG